rnacentral:tRNA from 1 species
ACCCGGGUGGCUCAGUCAUUAAGCAUCUGACUUUGACUCAGGUCAAGAUCUCACGGUUUGUGAGUUCAAGCCCCACUUGGGGUG